AUACUUACCUGGCAGGGGAGAUACCAUGAUCACGAAGGUGGUUUUCCCAGGGCGAGGCUUAUCCAUUGCACUCCGGAUGUGCUGACCCCUGCGAUUUCCCCAAAUGGGGGAAACUCGACUGCAUAAUUGUGGUAGUGGGGGAUGCGUUCGCGCUUUCCCCUG
rnacentral:snRNA from 1 species